UUGUGAGGGUCACCUGAGGGCAGACCGAGCACUUAUUUAUAUUUCUGCUACCAACACCAAGUACAAUGACUGAAACAUGGUAAUCUAUGUCUUUAUAAGUAAAGUAACACACACAAAUACUAUGGGGAUCUAUAAGAAGAAAUGUAGAGAGUGUGGCACUGCAAAUGCAACUUUCUCCUUUCUACAGCUAUAGAACUAAAAAAGAACACACAAAUGCGAGCUAAAAGCAGCAAACAGCAUUCCAAAGAAGCCCACCCAGGACCACCCUGUGGACCUGGACCUGGUGCUAGGUACCAGAAGAGGCUCACUGUGCUCUACCAGCUCCCCAUUUUACAACGGGUGAACUUGGGUGAGUUUUUCUUGGAACUCUGGACCACCCUGUUUUAAGUGUGCUCCCAGGAGACAAAGACUUCAAAGACUGCAACGGUACAAACAAGAGAUUUUGUCCAUUGGAAAAGACAUCAAUUAAAGACUCUCUCCAACCUUGUUGGAAGGGACCAUAUUGGGUAUUAUUAACUAAUCCAUGUGCAGCUAAACUUAAAGCUGUUAACUCAAAGAUUCACAUUCCUUAUUUUUUUAAAAAAAGUGCCUAACAGAGUGGACAUGUGCCCCUGUCUGACAUUCGCCUCGCCUGCAGUGGACAUCAAAGACUCCUCGAGGAUGAGAAGCCAAAAUCAGACAUAGACAGCUAUUGAGAAGGCCUGUAUACCUAUAUAACUGAUGUUGAACUUAAAACAAAAAAGAAGCAUUUGUUUGAUUGUCUUUACCUGUCUGAAAAUAUUAGCCAUAAUAAUAGUUAUACUUGUUCUUUGGGCUUUUCUCAAACUUUGUUCUUGUAUAGUCCAGCUGUUAAUAAUUGCUGAAGGUGAAUAAGAUAGUGUUUAUAUUAUCAAUAAUACACUUUUUACGGUUUCUCUUUUGAAAUUUAGAAGGAAUGUUAUCGCAGAAGGAAGGAAAGGGAUGUGUGUUUCAAGAGAAGUUAAAAGGAAGCAGUUUGUCUUAAUAAGUUGGUUAUUUCCAGAUGAAUAAAAAUGAGAAAAGUAAGGAAGACAAGAGCAGUUGUAGAAGGUUAGUGGAAAAGGAAUAUUAAGCAAGAAAUUUUAUGUAUAAACACUAGAACGCAAUUAUGGAAAUGUGCUUACCUCCUAACCCACCAAGGACUAACUAUAUUAAUUUAGAUGGAAGCUGAAGUGGCUUUAAAAAAAAAAAAAAAACUAACCCUCUGUAACAGCUACUAAGGCCCAGGAAAUCUACUUAUGAAAUUCUUACUGUCCUCCCGUCAUCUGGAAAUUUUUAGAUGGUAAUUGCAAUUUACACCACUGUAUUCUCACAGCCUCGACUCUGAUUAAACCUUAAAGUUACAGUUCCCCAUUGCGUAACUAGCAGGAAUCAGAUUUGAAUGAAUGACACUUGAGUGCUUCCAAUGGGAAGUAGAUGGUCCAUAUUAAAGUAAUAAUUACUACUACUACUACUAAUAAUACAAGUAAAUGGGAACCCAUCUCAUGGCCAGAUUGUGAAAACCAAAGAGGUAUAUGGUGUGCCCUCAAACUGUAAGUAAAUGUUAUAAUAGAUGCAAAAUACAGAAAAGUGAGACAGACAGCACAACUUGGAUCAUGUUAGUUUGUAGGUUAAAAAUGAUCCAGUGUUUUUUUUCUUAAUGAAGGUCCGUAUGACCUGACUGCCUCCCAUUUACCUGUCUUUCCUUUUUAAGAAAAUUUUGGCCUUGACUUCCAUCUAAGGUUAAGAUCUUGCCCCAUCCGCAGUGUUCACCAUUGCAGCAAGACAAAGGAGGACACAAAGACUUCCUAGGAAUGAGCGUUCCUAGCACUGUGGGACCACAUUAUCCCACCUAGAGGGUCAUGGCGGGUAGUCACAUCCUCGGCCUGUAGCUUUCUUGACAAAAAUCAAUAUUUAUCUUAAGUGAGCUUGACUAUUUUUUUUUUUCAUCUAAGAUAACAUACCUUUGAAAUGUCAGAGUAAUCUUUUCCAGACCCCUCAGGGAGACCACAGACCCAUCCCUGAACACCAUCUCUAUGGGCUGUAAAUGUUAAUUACUAACUAUCCUGUACCCACCAAUGUAAAUGAAGUAUGUGUCUCUGUUUUACUUUUUAUCCAA